rnacentral:lncRNA from 1 species
GGUUCAUCCCCCUGGUGCCCCGGGAGCUCGAAAAUCCCCAUCUGGAUCCACGGCGUACCCAGACCCUGACCACCCGAGGAGAAUUAAGAAAGAAGAAACUGGCUCAGAAGAUCCACCCUCCCAUGGCCAAAAGGGAGAAAUGGGAGCUCCAGGAGUCCAUGGAGACAAAGGAGAAAAGGUAGCAAUAGCACUUUCCUGGCCUGAGCCUCUGAGACCAGGAGAAGGCUCUCUGUGCUGAGAGGGUCUGGAAAAGGAGAGGCAGCUGGG